CUAGCAUGUGUGGUCAAAGAUGGACUAGCUUUCCAGUUAAACCUACCGAGGGAGGGAAAGCCAGGUGAAGUUAAUUAAAAAAAAAAAAUGGAAGUAUCACGUUACAAUUACUGUGAAAGUGUGAAUGGACACGUUGCUGGAAAAGAAAUUAUGGAGAAUUCUGAAGCCAGGCUUAACGUUGCUCUGGCCUCGCAACAAGCAACAGAAAGUUAACAACAGGUCAUGUAAGAUGAAAACCUGGAGUGUUAGCUUGUUUUUCAGUGCUGCUAACUGAGAUGAUGGCGAGAGAAGGAGAGUUCUUUGAACUAAAAAAAAAACCGAAAUGACCAUCACAACAAGUGCAGUGGGACUUAAUAAUAUUACAUGGAUAUGGACACUUCAUCUGGACUGGACUGGACUGGACUUCUAAACUACGUUCAUGCAACGGUUGCGCGCCCCUCCACCUCCCCAUCUCCGCCCAGUCUUCGCAGAUCCAUCAGCUCAUCAUUUCAUCAACUCUUCAGCCAUCAGCCUCAGCAGAGUCAUCAGCCACCACCACCAGUGUCUGGACUCCAUGGGGGGAUUUAUUCUGCAGCUGCUCAGGGCAGACGCCCUCCACCACCACCAAAAUCUCCCCGCGGAGUCUAACUGCCAAAGACUCUGUCAAGAUUAACAUCUUAUAUCAUCUAUUUAAAUAAACACUCUUUACUUUA